CUCUGUGUGUGUAGUCCUCCCUGUGGUGUCUCUAAGAGGGCAGUAGGGAGCUCCAUGCUCAGACCCAAGCCUUGCUGCUCCAGCAUCUACAGGGGGAGAGAGGCAGAGCUGAGAGAACACACUCACACACACGCCCUGCUGGCACAGAUCAACACCGGACCUGGAACUACUGCUGAAUGCCCCCUCACAUAUGUCGCCACAGUAACCGACUGUGUCGUGUUCAGGAGUCGCUCUGCCCCCGUAGCCGCCCGCGCCCGGCAAUCCCACAAUGCCUUGCUCCAGGCCGGUCGCCUGCCUUGGUGGAAGAUGCUGGGAGAUGGUGACAUCACCUGUCCCAGAAUCAGACUCCGUCCACAAAGACCACCCGCUGGAGGCAGAGUUUAACUCUCUAUAUUAAGGAGGAAGCUGACAACGUUGUUCACAAAAGUAUUGUAACGCUAUUAUAACAUUGUCAUAGGGCCUGUUGUAAUAAUGUCAUUAUGACAUCAAACCUGCUCUGGAAUUCAACCAAUCAUGGGUUUCAGUCUGGACCGUGGUUAGUUGAAUCAGGUGUGUUACUGCAGUGGUCUUUUCAUCAGUCUCUGUGUGGCUGGUCCCUUAGACUGAACUCUUCCUUAAGGAAUUGUAAAGCAAUUUUGUGUACAGAAGUCUGCAUUAGAUGUUGUACUUUUCUACUAUUA